UACGUAGGCAGCAAGCGUUGUUCGGAGUUACUGGGCGUAAAGGGUGCGUAGGCGGUUGUUUAAGUUUGGUGUGAAAUCUCCCGGCUCAACUGGGAGGGUGCGCCGAAUACUGAAUGACUCGAGUGCGGGAGAGGAGAGUGGAAUUCCUGGUGUAGCGGUGAAAUGCGUAGAUAUCAGGAGGAACACCGGUGGUGUAGACGGCUUUCUGGACCGUAACUGACGCUGAGACACGAAAGCGUGGGUAGCAAACAGG
rnacentral:rRNA from 1 species